UCAAGCUGGAAAGAGCGCAAGGGGAAUGCCUUGGCAUCAGGAGCCGAAGAAGGACGUGACAAGCUGCGAAAAGCCUCGGGGAGGAGCAAAUAUCCAUUGAUCCGGGGAUAUCCGAAUGGGGCAACCCGGCUGGACAAUAUCCAGUCAUCCUGCGUUGAACAAAAUAGGCGUAGGAAGGGAACCGCCUGAACUGAAACAUCUAAGUAGGGCGAGGAAGAGACAUCAACCGAGAUUCCGCAAGUAGUGGCGAGCGAACGCGGAAGAGGCCAAACCGAGGGAUUUAUUCCUCGGGGUUGCGGACAGUCAUUUAGCGGAAGUUAUCUAGGAGAAGGGUCUGGGAAGGCCCGCCACAGAGGGUGAGAGCCCCGUAUCCGAAAGAGAAGGCCGUGCGACUGAAUCCAGAGUACCGCGGGACACGUGAAACCCCGUGGGAAACAGGGGGGACCACCCUCCAAGCCUAAAUACUACCUGAUGACCGAUAGAGGAGCAGUACCGUGAGGGAAAGGUGAAAAGGACCCCGGGAGGGGAGUGAAAGAGAACCUGAAACCUUGUGCUUACAAGCAGUCAAAGCGCGUUAAAGCGUGAUGACGUACUUUUUGUAGAACGGUCCGGCGAGUUAUAGUAACGAGCAAGCUUAAGGUAUUGAGUACCGGAGGCGAAGCGAGAGCGAGUCUGAAUAGGGCGUAAAGUUCGUUGCCAUAGACCCGAAACCGGGUGACCUAUCCAUGAGCAGGCUGAAGUGAGAGUAAAAUCUCAUGGAGGGCCGAACCGACCCCCGUUGCAAUGGUGGCGGAUGACUUGUGGAUAGCGGAGAAAUUCCAAUCGAACUCGGAGAUAGCUGGUUCUCCCCGAAAUAGCUUUAGGGCUAGCCUCAUAUUAGAUACCCGGAGGUAAAGCACUGAAUGGCCUAGCGCCCGAGAGGGUAGCGAAGCCUAUCAAACUAAGAAUGCCGGAGUAUUGAUGUAUGGGAGUCAGACAGUGUGAGAUAAAUCUCAUUGUCAAAAGGGAAACAGCCCAGAUCUACAGCUAAGGUCCCAAAUUGUAUCUAAGUGGAAAACGAUGUGGAAAUACGCAGACAACCAGGAUGUUGGCUCAGAAGCAGCCACUCAUUUAAAGAGUGCGUAAUAGCUCACUGGUCGAGCGUCUCUGCGCGGAAAAUUUAACGGGGCUAAGAUACAAACCGAAGCUUAGGCUGCAUCGUAAGAUGCGGGGUAGGGGAGCGUUGUGUAAGCGGAGAAACAGUAGCGUAAGCGGCUGUGGAGUUUACAGAAGUGAGAAUGCCGGAAUGAGUAGCGCGAAUGUGGUGAGAAUCCACAUGGCCGGAAACCUCAGGUUUUUGGAGGAAGGUUCGUCCGCUCCAAGUUAGGCGGGAGCUAAGGUCAGGCCGAAAGGCGUAGCCGAUGCACAGACGGUAGAGAUUCCGUCCCCACCGAAAGAUUUAAGCACAGGGACACUUUUUGAAGGUCGGAGCCAGGUGUUGGUUCUGGUAGUGAUCGAGGGAAAUAUAGUACCGAAGUCCGGCUGGAAGAGAGGCGAGAAAAGCUGUGUGUAUAUCUAAGGUGCCCGUACCGCAAACCGACACAGGUAGGUAGGAAGAAGAUUCUAAGGCCAACGGGAGAAGGGUUGUUAAGGAACUCGGCAAAUUGACCCCGUAACUUCGGGAGAAGGGGUGCUCCAGAGAUGGAGCCGCAGAGAAUCGGCCCAAGCAACUGUUUACCAAAAACACAGGUUUGUGCUAAAUCGAAAGAUGACGUAUACGAGCUGACGCCUGCCCGGUGCUGGAAGGUUAAGAGGAGAUGUGCAAGCAUUGAAUCGAAGCCCCAGUGAACGGCGGCCGUAACUAUAACGGUCCUAAGGUAGCGAAAUUCCUUGUCAGGUAAG
rnacentral:rRNA from 1 species